GAGGUCAUACCACUAAAAGUGGAAAAACAAUUAUUUGAACCCAGGCACUCUGGCACAUGCUUUAUGAGAUUCAUUUCUUUGCACCCUCAGUUAAGGAAAGACACUACCAUUCAAAUAGACAAGCUACAUAAGACAGACUACGUAUACACUGGAAUCAGAGUCUCCAAUCAGAAAGGGAUUUUGUGUCUCUUUUCCUGUUAAGAACCUGGUUUAGACAGCUCUGCUACCUAUAAACAUUUGCUCUAAUCAAUUAGAGAAGGAGAGCCUAAGAAAUGGUCAUGCAAAAUAUUCGGACAAUGUCACAUGAUGCCUGAAGACUGCUCUCAUUUUAACUGGGAUAAAGAGGACAUUUCUCCAUUCAAGAGCUGCUUCUGAUUGUUCUAUGUUUCUGAUGCAUUUUUACUAACGCAAUACAUAGGGUAAUAAGAUACUCAUGUUACAGACACAUUAUGUAAUAGUCUGUAUCGUUUAUAUCCUUAUUUGUUUUCAGGAAAAUCAAGUUUUAUUUUUACUUCUGUGAAACAAUGUCAUUUCAACUUAUUUAUACAUAUUCCUUUAUCAGGAAAUAAUUUUAUCCUGGAUAUCCCUUUAAUGUCUUGCAAAAUGUCUCCCCAUUCUUUUUCAUCUCUUAAUAUAUUUUUCCCACCCCACUACCCAACUGUGGCCAAGAUAUGGAAUAUAAAUAAAUGGAAAUAUGCAGUAAUUCUGGUUUGUAAUUGAGAAAUGUAUAUACUCAUCACUUUCUUAGCAAGGUUUUAAUAACAAACACUGAGUAUAGGAAAAGACUAGCAGAAUAGAAAUCUUUAAUUAGAAUCUCUCAAAACCUACCUUUAAAAAUUAAUUCAAAUAGGAAAUUAUUUAGAUUAAUUGACUUAUUUACUGCUCUAUUUUAUCAAAAUAUUAUUCUUUGUUGUCUGAAUUGCUCUUAUAGCUUCCUGUACCAUAACAAGGUAUCAUAGUUACGUACCAUAUCAUAGCUAGGGAGGAACUAGCUGUUUUAAGCAGUUUAUAAUCUGGGGAACAAAGGCAGGAAGAGGUUGAAUUAUAUGCUUAAAUUAUGAGGCAAAUAAGAAAAUUCUUUUGAGUAACUCACCAUUUGGUGAUUCCCAUUGGCCACUCUCUCA
rnacentral:lncRNA from 10 species